rnacentral:rRNA from 2 species
GCAGUCGAGCGGAUGAGGUAGCUUGCUACUGGAUUCAGCGGCGGACGGGUGAGUAAUGCUUAGGAAUCUGCCUAUUAGUGGGGGACAACGUUCCGAAAGGAGCGCUAAUACCGCAUACGUCCUACGGGAGAAAGCAGGGGACCUUUGGGCCUUGCGCUAAUAGAUGAGCCUAAGUCGGAUUAGCUAGUUGGUAGGGUAAAGGCCUACCAAGGCGACGAUCUGUAGCGGGUCUGAGAGGAUGAUCCGCCACACUGGGACUGAGACACGGCCCAGACUCCUACGGGAGGCAGCAGUGGGGAAUAUUGGACAAUGGGGGGAACCCUGAUCCAGCCAUGCCGCGUGUGUGAAGAAGGCCUUUUGGUUGUAAAGCACUUUAAGCGAGGAGGAGGCUACCUAGAUUAAUACUUUAGGAUAGUGGACGUUACUCGCAGAAUAAGCACCGGCUAACUCUGUGCCAGCAGCCGCGGUAAUACAGAGGGUGCGAGCGUUAAUCGGAUUUACUGGGCGUAAAGCGUGCGUAGGCGGCCAAUUAAGUCAAAUGUGAAAUCCCCGAGCUUAACUUGGGAAUUGCAUUCGAUACUGGUUGGCUAGAGUAUGGGAGAGGAUGGUAGAAUUCCAGGUGUAGCGGUGAAAUGCGUAGAGAUCUGGAGGAAUACCGAUGGCGAAGGCAGCCAUCUGGCCUAAUACUGACGCUGAGGUACGAAAGCAUGGGGAGCAAACAGGAUUAGAUACCCUGGUAGUCCAUGCCCGUAAACGAUGUCUACUAGCCCGUUGGGGCCCUUGAGGCUUUAGUGGC